UACGUAGGGGGCAAGCGUUGUUCGGAAUUACUGGGCGUAAAGUGUGCGCAGGCGGCCGCGCAAGUCGAGUGUGAAAGCCCCGGGCUUAACUUGGGAAUUGCGCUCGAAACUACGUGGCUGGAGUGUGGCAGAGGAAGGUGGAAUUCCAGGUGUAGCGGUGAAAUGCGUAGAGAUCUGGAGGAACACCGAUGGCGAAGGCAGCCUUCUGGGCCAACACUGACGCUCAUGCACGAAAGCGUGGGGAGCAAACAGG
rnacentral:rRNA from 1 species